UCUGAAACCCCACCAGGGUGUGGGUCUCAGCGCUCACGCUGCACCCUGAGCCUGAAUGUCUACAGUAGUAUUUUUAGCCCUACAGCCCGAGUCCUGCAAGCCCAAGUCAAUUGACCUGGGUUCUGAGGCUCAGUGUAGUUGUAUCCUGAGACUACUUAACCUAUUACUGAACUCUGGGACAGAUUCACUGAAGCAUAAUUGCUCUUAAUGCGAAAUGGUUAUACUUGCAGAGAUGAGAGCAAGUAUAACCCUCCUGGGCUUUUUACUUUAAUAUAUUUUAAGCCUUUAUAGUAUUUUUCUUCUGCGUAAGACCAAACAAAACUUUUCCAGUUUUAAAGUAAAAAUAGCCCCCUUGUUUCACUUCCUUAUCCUGUCAGGCUUUCUCUGAGCACAGUACUUUCUGUCCUUGGCUUUUUGAUCUGGCAGAUUCUGUUGGCAUCUCUCAAGCUUACUGUUAGGCCAGUCUGUAAGCUUCUUUGGAUUCUCUGGAUUUCAGAAGGCUACUCAUGGUCCAGGAUCACAACUAAGACCCAAGUGGUAGUUGUGUUGUUUCCAUCUUUUGUUUUUUAAAUGGAUUAAAUCUAUCCGGUGACUUACAGUUGUGUUAUAUGUUUGACACAGAUCUCUUCAGUGGAAUCCAGAACUGACAAUGCAGGGUCCAGCAAGUCACUUUGGUGUAUCUGAUAGUUGACUGCAUCUAAGCAGGACAGUUCAAGUGUGCUACUUAGGAUAUUUAAAAACGUUGCUAAAUAAAAUAAUAUUACCAAAACUGUAUAGAUAGCAUUAUCUAAGUGAAAUUACAUUUAUAUACUAUUGUACUAUCAGCCAGAGCCUGUUGGCAGCAAUGUUCUACGGGACAUCAUUAGCAUACGAUGUGACUCACACCAUCUUGAACUAGGAUGUCUGGAGCUGUUAACUUAUGAAUUAAUGUGAAAUCUGCUGUUUAAUAAAUACUUUAUACUGCUUGUUUAGUGAUAUUCAGCAGCAGACUGUAAAGUUUCUCAUUGUGAGAGUCACCUGUAAGAUCAGGUUCCUCCUGAUGUCUUGAAUGAAAAUUUCUAUGUUUAGAAAACACCUGCAACUUGUUAAAGCUACUGCACUCGUUCAUCCAAAAUGUAACCUCAGAACAAUUCCAGCCCCUGUGCUUUCUUAGCCAUGCAAUGUCUUAAUUUUCUUCCUAUUUUUGUUUUCUUUAAUUAGGUUGUGCCCCUACAGCCCAAAGCAUGUAAAAAAUCUAAGUUAACCGGAGUUAAGAAUCUGGGUUUAAAUUCUAUCUAAACAGAGUUCUUAUUAAAUCUGUUUCCAACUGCUUGGCCAGCCAGUGUAGACAAAGUGAUAGAAAUACAGGCUGGCCACAUUAUGUCCAAUAUUGUUCAGCCAAGCGGUGUUAGAAGAGUGUUCUGUUGGCUCCCUUCUUAUGCACUGUUUCCAAACUCUGUUACUAGCCCCUUUGAGAGAAGCCCAUACUGCAAAGAAAUGUACAGAACAACGUGGUGUCCAGUGCUACAACUGCAGGGACAGAGUUGUGCAUAAUGCAAAGUUGAGGGAAGGUUUUUUCUUUGUGAUGCAUAAUUAACCUAUCAAAUGCCUCAAGUACCUUAUUAAAGCUUCAUCCUCCUUAUGCCCAGUGGAUGGGCAGUCUUGAAAAUGGGCCUUUCCUUGUGUUGCCUGUGACUUGACAGAUGUCUAUUCACUGAGGACACUUCCUGGGCUUUUCAUUGGCAGCCCUUCUUUUUGCUGAGAGGAGAAAUAUUGAAAAUCAUUAGACAAAUACUUGUCAAGUAUGGCCUUGUCAGGUAUAUUUGGACCCCAGUGCAGCGGGCUGGACUAGAUGACCUCUCGAGAUCCCUUGCAGCCCGGCAUUUCUAUGGUAAAUUAGGAAAUACAUAUGUGCUGCUGGAUCACUUAAUCAACUAAAUAUUGACCUCUUUUGGUGGGGUGGGGAAGGCUUCCUCUACAUAUGAUGAAGUCUCCCAUUGAGUGUGUGGGUGCUGAGAUGAGACCAAAGACUGAUUUUGGACCUGCAGCCUCCUCCACAAGUGCCACAGGUAAAGACAAUUGUAAAUGAAUUAGUGCUGCUUUUAGCUUUUUACAUCUUGCACGUCUCUCCUUGAUUGCAGAAAUCGUCAAGCUCUCAAAAUCAUCCAGUCUGAGGUGGCAGGGCUGCUGCUGUCAGAUCUUGGGCUAAGAGCUCCCAGGUGCUGAGGUCAGCAUUGUAAGAUUGAAGAUGAGACAAUGCCAAAAAGACUGAGAGAAAGGAGAUGGUGCCUUGUGCAACAAUAACUUCUUAUAUCUACAAUGACUUCCAUCUGAGGCUCUCAAUGCUUUACGCCUGCUACUUAAGUCUGAGACAUUGGGCCCCAACUUUUGGACUUUGGCUCAGCUCAUAAACUGACAAAUAAAAACACGACUUCACCCGUAACACAGCUUCUUCUCAAAGGCUGGUCUGGCCCCACCUAUGCUUGUUCUCAGCAGGCUUUGAACUUCCAGAUGCUACUUCUGCAUGGAGCGAACAUGCAGCCUUCGUUCGACUUACUUGAUUAAGUAGAAUUUACAUUUCUCUGGGGGUUUUUAACCAGAAAUAUCAGGUAUGUUCCAUUUCCUGCCUGGUUAGCCUCCCUAUACUUCCUUUUUGGCACUAGCUUUUGAAAGCCACAAGAUAUUUUCCUAAGUGUUCAGUUGCCCCCUAGUGGGCUUCAGGAAAAUAACAUCCUCAUAGUUUAUGGCCACUGUGACCAAUCUGCACUAGAACAUGCAAGAGCAAGAAAAAUCUUAGGGGCAUGUUCUAAGGAAAGACUGGAGUAACUCCACUGACUUCAACAGAGUUACUCUGCAUUCAUACUGGGGGAAUCAAGAUCAGAAUCUUGGUCUGUCUUUAGGAGAGGGAACACAGAUGCUUGCCCUCCUCUGUGGCUAUGGCAGAGUUGCUUUCCUCUAAGUGUCUGCCAGGAAAGAGAGCCAAGGGCACUCAAACCUUUCUCUAAUCCCCACUGUGAAACAGCAUUACACUGCUCUAGAAACGUACUUGUGGAAUUCUGGGCCUUAAUAGCAAUUUUUACUUUUGUGUUGUGACCAGGGUAUCAUGCUGUGCCUUGCUGAAGUGCAUAUAGAUAGUCUGAUUGCUUUUCCCCCCCACACACAUCUGUUUAAAAACAAUUUCUCUCCUAGACUGACUGGCUCCCAACAUCUUUUACCCAUCUAAUGGUAUUUUUAAACAAUCUUCUUCAUACCAGCUGCAGCUCAGGUUCAACCUGGUGUGAUGGCCCUGGCCCACUCAAUUGCCAGUAGAGUUAGGAUUUGAUUUUUAAUACAAAAAUAAUGUAAUUUAACAUGCAGGCUCCUGUCCCCUACUGUUUGUUGCUACUUCAUGAACCUGUGCUAACAGUGAGGGAUGUUGAAAAAAAAGCUCUGAUCGGUAAUACUACCCUUCCUCUCCAUCAAUGGGCAUGAAUUAUGAUCUGCAACAAAAUUGAUUAUUACCCCCACCUUUAUACCAUGGUACAAGACUCUUAAAUCCAGGAUCACAUGAAAGAGCUCAGUUGUAGCUGUCUGCUCCACCAAGGCACUUCUCCCAUCUUGCGCUACAUAUGCAGGAAUACUGUCUAGAAAGCAAUGAUGCCUACGUAAUCUGUAACUCUCUUAAAAGUGAACUUUCCUUCAAAAGGGAAGGAGAGUAGCCCCAGUUUGAGUUAGUCUUCAAGUACGUCUAAGACCAGCUGCUGUGAAACCAUCUUCCCAUCAAGCUUGUAACUGGUAACAAGGUUUUCAUACAGUGCCCUUUAAGUGUAUGGAUGGUGGGCAGAUCAGUGUGUAAUUAAUGCAAAAAUACCACCCUCUGCUCUCUAACUUAGCCCCUCCCUCAAAAAGAAUUAUUCCUUGAGGUUAGUAAUUAGGACCAACAGCUUUAGUCCAGCUGCUGCAUUCCUUUUCAAAGGGUGGCUUAAGUGUGUGCAGUUUAAAAAUCUUUACCCUAAAGAGCUGCUGUUUUCAGUAAUAUCCUAAAAUGAAUGAAAUAUAAGGUCUGAUAGAUUUACUUUGGGGAAGAAGUUACUAUCAAGCAAUGGCUCACUGAGGUUGAGAAGCCAGGAAACUGGGCAGUUAACGGUUCCAUCUCUGUGUGGUGAAAAAGCAUAUGGGCAACACUCUUGAAUAGAUACUGAAAGUGUGCUGUUUUAAAAAAAAAAAAAAA